GAAGGUAUAGCUCAGUGGUAGAGUACAUGCCUAGCAUGUACAAGGUCCUGGGUUCAAUCUCCAGUACUUCUA
rnacentral:tRNA from 1 species